rfam:Volvox carteri f. nagariensis unplaced genomic scaffold VOLCAscaffold_112, whole genome shotgun sequence.
GGGGUCGUAGCUCGAAUGGUAGAGCGCCCGCUUAGCAUGCGAUGCUGAGCGCCGCAGAUGAUGUGCGGGAGGUAGGGGGAUCGAUGCCCUCCGACUCCA